rnacentral:rRNA from 1 species
CCUACGGGUGGCAGCAGUGGGGAAUAUUGGACAAUGGGCGAAAGCCUGAUCCAGCCAUGCCGCGUGUGUGAAGAAGGCCUUCGGGUUGUAAAGCACUUUCAGUGGGGAAGAAAGCCUUGGGGCUAAUACCCUCGAGGAAGGACAUCACCCACAGAAGAAGCACCGGCUAACUCCGUGCCAGCAGCCGCGGUAAUACGGAGGGUGCGAGCGUUAAUCGGAAUUACUGGGCGUAAAGCGCGCGUAGGCGGUCUGAUAAGCCGGUUGUGAAAGCCCCGGGCGCAACCUGGGAACGGCAUCCGGAACUGUCAGGCUAGAGUGCAGGAGAGGAAGGUAGAAUUCCCGGUGUAGCGGUGAAAUGCGUAGAGAUCGGGAGGAAUACCAGUGGCGAAGGCGGCCUUCUGGACUGACACUGACGCUGAGGUGCGAAAGCGUGGGUAGCAAACAGGAUUAGAUACCCUUGUAGUC